CGUUCUCAGAGGAGAGAGAGAGAGCAGAAAGGCUGCACAGAUAGCGCUGCAGAAUGCGGUGUCCAGCAGACCGCUUUGUCUCCUGACCUGGGGGUGCAUGUGUCAGGGAUGGUUAUCUCAGAACAUCGGCUUUGUUGUCAUGCGACUGGGAACAUUUCGUCUUACAUGUGUCUUACCGAUGCCCCGGCCAGACGGAGCGCAGCGUCCCAUCCGUCAGGGCCGACAGUAUCAAUCGCACACCUGCAGCAGGAGGGCUUUCUGCACGCAGGCUAAGCAAACAGGAAAUCACCAGGAACAAAUAUUCCUAACCACACCUGUGCCAGAAACACAACUCCGGUUUCCUGUGUCGGUGGCCAAACACCUUUGACGGGACUGGGUGCAGCAGGCUGGCGGGGGUGUCUGAGGCCUCUCGCCGCGGCCGCCGCGCCCUUGACGGACGAGCGGUUCGAUGAGACGGUAAAAUACGGCGAGGGGCGCUGCCGGUGCCGCCAGCCUCCUCUGACGCCUGUUUCAGCCUGAGCUGCAGCCUGGAAACACACUCUUCUGUUCUCCCAGACACCAGCAACCGCAGCACUGUGGGCUAGCUGUGCAUAACUGGCAGCUUUACCUGAUUUCACAGCUGAUUUCCCGAAGCAGAACUGUAAGAGGAAACAGGAGGAAUGUUCUAGCAACCAUAAGCGCUACAGUGUCCCGUCACAAAGCUCCAGAAUGCAGAGAAGGUUCCAUUACCUAACUGUUACCGACCGGGAGGCAGCUCUGGUUUUGGAGAUUUCAUGCAGCUGACAAUUUCUGGUUCUCAGAACAUUCCCAGAAUGUUGGAAAAGUUAGAGCAAACAUUUGUCCACAUUUGUGUAAGCCCGGAGGUGCCAAGGGGCUGAUGUAGUUCUGUAUAGCCCUGACACAUGUACUCCUUAUGACAUUAUGGCUUCCACCUGCUCCCCAGUAUAGAGCUAUGCCAAAGAGCUCAAGGGCAGAGUGUUCAUAGAGUGGAGCUGCACCAGAGAGCUCAGAGACAGAGAGUUUCUGUUGUGUGGUGCUGCACCAGACAGCUCAGGGGCAGACAGUUUCCUUAGUGUGGAGCUGCACCACACAGUUCAGAGACUGACAGUUCCCACUGUGGAGCUGCACCAGAGAGCUCAGGAGCAGACUGUUUCCAUAGUUUGGAGUUGCACCAGCAAGCUCAGAGACCAAAAGAGUCCCCAUUGUGGAUCUGUGCAAGAUAAUUCAGAGAUUACGACAGUUUACAGGGUGGAGCUGCACUGGAGAGCUCAUAUGCAUGGAGAAUCCAUAGCAAAGAGCUUCACCAGAGAACUCACAUACAGCAUAGAGCUCCAAGGUGGAGAACGCCAACAGCAAGGGCUAAAUGCAAGCCGCCGCAGCCAUACUCCUGGCCCUAUGUCCAAUGAGAAGAAUAAAAUAUUAUUCCAACAAAUAAAACACUUUAAAUUAUGUCUGCAUCUGUACAGUGUCAGCAUACCUCCCACUAGUAACAGAAUAAAAAGUAACUGCUUUGCAUACAUUGCACAUAGUACGAUACAUAAUAUUUACAGUACACAUAGCUUCAUGUGUACUGUAGUAUGUGGGAAAUGCAUGGCCUGCACACAGCAUUUCUAAAAAGAAGACUGACUAAGGAUGAUAAAGUUGAAGAGCGCUGGCCUGCAGUGUGAGCUCCGCCAGACAGCCUGAGAGACGCACAGAAGGUUCACACUGGCGGGCUGUGCAGGGAAAGCACUGCACUUCAACACCCCAUUAUAAAACGUCAAAUGUACAUUUUCCAGUUGCAUCAGAGCCGUGCCAUCCAUAGCAAUCCUCAGCACCUCCCACCCAGAUUCCAGUGCUGCCGGCAGCACCUCACUGCCAAAGACCUGUCUUAAUAUUUGCUCAGCUUCGAAGAGACUGAUGCUCCCUGAUUUAUAUGCAAGGCCGUAGGAGACUUCAGUAUACAGAUCUAUCAAAAAAUGGUUACACACUGAGGGAGAGAGGGAGUGAGGAUGGGAAAGGGAGAGAGAGAGAGUCAGACAAAAAAAAGUUCAAAUGAAGUGUAUUUGUGUGUGCAAAAAAAUGUCAGCAGUGCUAUCAUGGCAGAGUUUUAAACUUCUAAGUAUUUCAUUAGUUCAGGACAUAAUAUUUUCUGUAUUAUCUUAAAGCUGUCACAUACCGCUGGCUCAUGAUCUUUGGAGAGAAAUAUUUUUAAAAAGAACAAAAAACUGAACAAGAACAAGUUCCAGAAAUGAUCAUCAGUGCAUAAUGCUUUAUGUAAUCUCUAAAGUCCUGGAAGAGGGAUGUCACUAGGCCACAGGAAACAGGAAGUACAUGGAGGACAAGGAAGGAAGUGAUCCCUCAGCCCCCUAC